AUUGAACGCUGGCGGAAUGCUUUACACAUGCAAGUCGAACGGCAGCACGGGGCAACCUGGUGGCGAGUGGCGAACGGGUGAGUAAUACAUCGGAACGUGCCCAGUCGUGGGGGAUAACGUAGCGAAAGUUACGCUAAUACCGCAUACGAUCUAAGGAUGAAAGCGGGGGAUCGCAAGACCUCGCGCGAUUGGAGCAGCCGAUGUCAGAUUAGGUAGUUGGUGGGGUAAAGGCCCACCAAGCCGACGAUCUGUAGCUGGACUGAGAGGACGAACAGCCACACUGGGACUCAGACACGGACAAGAAUCCUACGGGAGGCAGCAGUGGGGAAUUUUGGACAAUGGGCGCAAGCCUGAUCCAGCCAUUCCGCGUGCAGGAUGAAGGCCUUCGGGUUGUAAACUGCUUUUGUACGGAGCGAAAAGGCUCUCUCUAAUACAGGGGGCUCAUGACGGUACCGUAAGAAUAAGCACCGGCUAACUACGUGCCAGCCGCCGCAGUAA
rnacentral:rRNA from 1 species